UACGUAGGGUGCGAGCGUUAAUCGGAAUUACUGGGCGUAAAGCGUGCGCAGGCGGUCUGUUAAGACCGAUGUGAAAUCCCCGGGCUUAACCUGGGAACUGCAUUGGUGACUGGCAGGCUUUGAGUGUGGCAGAGGGAGGUAGAAUUCCACGUGUAGCAGUGGAAAUGCGUAGAGAUGUGGAGGAAUACCGAUGGCGAAGGCAGCCUCCUGGGCCAACACUGACGCUCAUGCACGAAAGCGUGGGGAGCAAACAGG
rnacentral:rRNA from 1 species